rnacentral:rRNA from 1 species
GAAGGUGGGGAUGACGUCAAGUCAUCAUGGCCCUUACGACCAGGGCUACACACGUGCUACAAUGGCGCAUACAAAGAGAAGCGACCUCGCGAGAGCAAGCGGACCUCAUAAAGUGCGUCGUAGUCCGGAUUGGAGUCUGCAACUCGACUCCAUGAAGUCGGAAUCGCUAGUAAUCGUGGAUCAGAAUGCCACGGUGAAUACGUUCCCGGGCCUUGUACACACCGCCCGUCACACCAUGGGAGUGGGUUGCAAAAGAAGUAGGUAGCUUAACCUUCGGGAGGGCGCUUACCACUUUGUGAUUCAUGACUGGGGUGAAGUCGUAACAAGGUAACCGUAGGGGAACCUGCGGUUGGAUCAC